UCGGGAAUCUUCCGCAAUGGACUCAAGUCUGACGGAGCAACGCCGCGUGAGUGAAGAAGGAUUUCGGUUCGUAAAACUCUGUUGUUAGAGAAGAACAGCGCAUAGAGUAACUGUUAUGCGUGUGACGGUAUCUAACCAGAAAGCCACGGCUAACUACGUGCCAGCAGCCGCGGUAAUACGUAGGUGGCAAGCGUUGUCCGGAUUUAUUGGGCGUAAAGCGAGCGCAGGCGGUCAAUUAAGUCUGAUGUGAAAGCCCCCGGCUCAGCCGGGGAGGGUCAUUGGAAACUGGUUGACUUGAGUGCAGAAGAGGAGGGUGGAAUUCCAUGUGUAGCGGUGAAAUGCGUAGAUAUAUGGAAGAACACCAGUGGCGAAGGCGACUCUCUGGUCUGUAACUGACGCUGAGGCUCGAAAGCGUGGGUAGCAAACAGG
rnacentral:rRNA from 1 species